rnacentral:sRNA from 1 species
AUGAUAUAAGUUACGACAAGACUGCCUUUUUAUCCCGAGACCUGUUUUUAUCUUCGAUAUUUGCAGAACAUAACAACAGUUUUGUGCAAUUAUUCAAUUUCACCACUUCUACUCUCAAUGUUUGUCUGGGAACAGAAAAAUUCACAUCCAUCUUUAUUAUUCACCAACUUUGUACCUUUUUUUUAACCACUGUCCAACAAGUGAUUUAUACCUGUCUUUAAGAAAUAUUUGAUUUUUGAUUAUUCGCUUGUCAUGGUUUCAUACAUUUUUCGUAAAUUUAUAAUAUUAUAAAUAUAUUAUCUUAAAUUUUAAGAUGUUAUGCAUACAAGAUAUACUGAAUUUUUUUUCGGUAAGAAAUUUAUGGCUGCUACAGUGAUGAAGUAAGUGUAUGUUCAGGGUAAAAGUGAACAUUGCAUUCUUGUUGAGGGUAGACAACUCCAGUUUAAUACUAAUAAUGUUUAAUUAUGUAUUAAUUUCUUCCAGUCUUAAUAGGGAAUUAACUCAAAAAAUCUCAACUAUUUUGUAGCAUUUUGUACAGUUUAUAAUGGCUUUAACAGAAAAUAUAUUAAAAUAUAUAUAUAUAUAUAUUUUUGACACUUAAUAUUUGUACAUUUAUUAUAUUAAUAUAUCUAUAUAUAUGUCACAGAAAUGCAUGGUCAGUGAGCAGCUCUCUUAGAAUAUAGAUAUAGAUAUAUAUAUGAUCUAUAAUAGUGUUUUUGUAUUGCUUUGUUAUAUGUAUUCUAAUAAACUCCUCGUCACAACUUC